CCUACGGGAGGCAGCAGUGAGGAAUAUUGGUCAAUGGGCGAGAGCCUGAACCAGCCAAGUCGCGUGAGGGAGUAAUGCCCUAUGGGUUGUAAACCUCUUUUGUCGGGGAGCAAAAGCCGGACGUGUCCGGCUGUGAGAGUACCCGAAGAAAAAACAUCGGCUAACUCCGUGGCAGCAGCGGCGGUAAAACGGAGGAUGCGGGCGUUAUCCGGAUUUAUGGGGUUAAAAGGGUGCGCAGGCGGAUUUUUAAGUCAGCGGUAAAAGCGGGGGGCUCACCCCCAGCCAGCCGUUGAAACUGGGGAUCUAGAGUGUGCGAGAGGUAUGCGGAAUGCGUGGUGUAGCGGUGAAAUGCAUAGAUAUCACGCAGAACCCCGAUUGCGAAGGCAGCAUACCGGUGCACAACUGACGCUCAGGCACGAAAGCGUGGGUAUCGAACAGGAUUAGAUACCCUAGUAGUC
rnacentral:rRNA from 1 species